rnacentral:rRNA from 1 species
AAAGCGUGCGCAGGCGGUUAUGUAAGACAGAUGUGAAAUCCCCGGGCUCAACCUGGGACCUGCAUUUGUGACUGCAUCGCUAGAGUACGGUAGAGGGGGAUGGAAUUCCGCGUGUAGCAGUGAAAUGCGUAGAUAUGCGGAGGAACACCGAUGGCGAAGGCAAUCCCCUGGACCUGUACUGACGCUCAUGCACGAAAGCGUGGGGAGCAAACAGGAUUAGAUACCCCUGU